CUAAUCGAACCAUCUAGUAGCU
rnacentral:siRNA from 1 species